GACGAACGCUGGCGGCGUGCUUAACACAUGCAAGUCGAACGGAAAGGCCCUGCUUUUGUGGGGUGCUCGAGUGGCGAACGGGUGAGUAACACGUGAGUAACCUGCCCUUGACUUUGGGAUAACUUCAGGAAACUGGGGCUAAUACCGGAUAGGAGCUCCUGCUGCAUGGUGGGGGUUGGAAAGUUUCGGCGGUUGGGGAUGGACUCGCGGCUUAUCAGCUUGUUGGUGGGGUAGUGGCUUACCAAGGCUUUGACGGGUAGCCGGCCUGAGGGGGUGACCGGGCCAAAGGGGGCUGGAGAAACGCCCCACCCCCCGCGGGGAGGCAGAGGGGGGGAUUAUUACAAAAGGGGGGGAAGCCGGACGAAGCACCGCCGCGGGGGGGAGACCGCCUUUGGGUUUUAAACCCGUUUCCGCCUGGGAAAAAGGGGGAGGGCGGGUAGUGGAAAAAGAAACCCCGGCUAACUCGGUG
rnacentral:rRNA from 1 species